rnacentral:rRNA from 1 species
UCGAUUCCCUUAGUAGCGGCGAGCGAAACGGGAAGAGCCCAAACCAACAAGCUUGCUUGUUGGGGUUGUAGGACACUCUAUACGGAGUUACAAAGGACGACAUUAGACGAAUCAUCUGGAAAGAUGAAUCAAAGAAGGUAAUAAUCCUGUAGUCGAAAAUGUUGUCUCUCUUGAGUGGAUCCUGAGUACGACGGAGCACGUGAAAUUCCGUCGGAAUCUGGGAGGACCAUCUCCUAAGGCUAAAUACUCUCUAGUGACCGAUAGUGAACCAGUACCGUGAGGGAAAGGUGAAAAGCACCCCGGAAGGGGAGUGAAAUAGAACCUGAAACCGUGUGCUUACAAGUAGUCAGAGCCCGUUAAUGGGUGAUGGCGUGCCUUUUGUAGAAUGAACCGGCGAGUUACGAUUUGAUGCAAGGUUAAGCAGUAAAU